GCGAAAGCGUUAAGCAUCCCACCUGGGGAGUACGCCGGCAACGGUGAAACUCAAAGGAAUUGACGGGGGCCCGCACAAGCGGAGGAACAUGUGGUUUAAUUCGAUGAUACGCGAGGAACCUUACCCGGGCUUGAAUUGCAGGAGAACGAUCCAGAGAUGGUGAGGUCCUUCGGGACUCCUGUGAAGGUGCUGCAUGGUUGUCGUCAGCUCGUGCCGUGAGGUGUCGGCUUAAGUGCCAUAACGAGCGCAACCCCUUUCCUCAGUUGCCAUCAGGUAGAGCUGGGCACUCUGGGGACACUGCCACCGCAAGGUGUGAGGAAGGUGGGGAUGACGUCAAAUCAGCACGGCCCUUACGUCCGGGGCUACACACGUGUUACAAUGGGGGGUACAGAGAGCCGGUGGCGCGCAAGCUCCAUCCAAUCCUUAAAGCCCUCCUCAGUUCGGACUGGGGUCUGCAACCCGACCCCACGAAGCUGGAUUCGCUAGUAAUCGCGCAUCAGCCAUGGCGCGGUGAAUACGUUCCCGGGCCUUGUACACACCGCCCGUCAAGCCAUGAAAGCCGGGGGUGCCUGAAGUCCGUGACCGGAAGGAUCGGCCUAGGGCAAAACUGGUGAUUGGGGCUAAGUCGUAACAAGGUA
rnacentral:rRNA from 1 species